GACAGAGGGGGCAAGCGUUGCUCGGAAUCACUGGGCGUAAAGGGCGCGUAGGCGGGAUGGCAAGUCAGUCGUGAAAUCUCUCGGCUCAACCGAGAAACGUCGGCUGAUACUGCCGUUCUUGAGGGAUGCAGAGGAGACUGGAAUUCCCGGUGUAGCGGUGAAAUGUGUAGAGAUCGGGAGGAACACCGGUGGCGAAGGCGGGUCUCUGGGUAUCUCCUGACGCUGAGGCGCGAAAGCGUGGGGAGCAAACGGG
rnacentral:rRNA from 1 species